GAUGAACGCUGGCGGCGUGCCUAACACAUGCAAGUCGAACGAUCCUUUCGGGGAUAGUGGCGCACGGGUGAGGAACACGUAGCUGACCUGCCUUCGGGAGUGGGAUAACGCCGGGAAACCGGCGCUAAUACCGCGUAAGCUCACGCCAACUAGAGGGGUGUGAGAAAAGGAGCAAUCCACCUGAAGAGGGGGCUGCGGCC
rnacentral:rRNA from 1 species